rnacentral:rRNA from 1 species
UUGGAGGGCAAGUCUGGUGCCCGCAGCCGCGGUAAUUCCAGCUCCAAUAGCGUAUAUUAAAGUUGUUGCAGUUAAAAAGCUCGUAGUUGAAUUUCGGGGUUCUACCGUUGGUCGGGCUUUGUCUGUACUGGUGUGUAGAAUUUCUACCUUCUGGGGAACCAUCAUGCUAUUAAUUUAGCGUGGUGGGAAACCAGGACCUUUACCUUGAAAAAAUUAGUGUGUUCAAAGCAGGCUUAUGUCUGAAUACAUUAGCGUGGAAUAAUAGAAUAGGACGGUGGUCCUGUUUUGUUGGUUUCUGAAUCACCGUAAUGAUUAAUAGGGAUAGUUGGGGGCAUUAGUAUUCAAUUGUCAGAGGUGAAAUUCUUGGAUUUAUUGAAGACUAACUUCUGCGAAAGCAUUUGCCAAGGAUGUUUUCAUUAAUCAAGAACGAAAGUUAGGGGAUCGAAGACGAUCAGAUACCGUCGUAGUCUUAACCGUAAACUAUGCCGACUAGGGAUCGGACGAUGUUAAUUUUUCUUGACUCGUUCGGCGCCUUACGGGAAAC